rnacentral:ncRNA from 1 species
GUGUUGUCUGAAAGGAGAGAAGGCUAGCACUCCCCCUGACAGGGUGGAAGAGGCUCUCGGGCUUAACAACACUGAUACAGUGAAGGCAUUGCUGCCUACUUUAUGGCAUCUGACCAUCAUUUUAA